rnacentral:snoRNA from 14 species
UUUGCCCUCCGAAUAACCAGAAGGCGAGAUGCAAAUCCGACGCCGUUUGGUUCAGACAGGGGCACACAGCGAUCCGAAGCCGUUUUGUGGGCGAAGAUCUGAUUAUUUCUUCGUCCUUUAUUUCAUUUUUUCAAAAACUUUGCUUCGAACAUUU